rnacentral:tRNA from 3 species
GGCGGAGUAGCAAAAUGGUUAUGCCGCGGCCUGCAAAGCCGUUUACGCCGGUUCGAUUCCGACCUCCGCCUCCA